rnacentral:rRNA from 1 species
CACGGGGGUUGCGAGCGUUGUCCGGAAUUACUAGGCGUAAAGGGCAGGCAGGCGGAUCCAUAAGUUUAUCGUUUAAGGCGUCGACUUAACCGGCGUAGGGCGGUAGAUACUGUGGAUCUGGAAUGCGGUUGGGGAAGACAGAAUUCCUGGUGUAGCGGUGGAAUGCGCAGAGAUCAGGAGGAAUACCGAAGGCGAAGGCAGUCUUCCAAGCCGUUAUUGACGCUCAACUGCGAAGGUGUGGGUAUCAAACAGGAUUAGAUAUCCGCGUAGUCCCU